UAAGAUUUUGAUGCAUCAUAUCGAUUCUACGUGAAUUUUGUAGUAACCCCAGUGUAACAAGGACGCCCCGGUAGCAACUACUUUAUUUCCUCAUAACUUACUCAUGAAUUUCACGUAAAGUCUAAGUGGAUGAUUUGUUUGUGCAUUUUUGAAUCCGUUUUGUGCAUUUUUCUCCAGCGUGUGGUGGUAAAUUCAAAUUAGAAUAUGGAAUUGUGGUUCGUCAGCUUUGUUCCAUGUUGUGAAAUUUUUUGAAGCCGUUGUGCCUGUUGUUAUCAUGAUCGGAUAUCCAACUGUUUAGGAUUUGUCGUUUUGCAAUGGCUCUGAAUACAAAUGCUUUUCCGUUGGAACUGAAGAUGACCUUUCGUUCUUUGGUGGGUCUGUUCGAAUAAGAGGUUCAACGGAACAACAGACAAGGAUUUCAAAAAGAAAGCUGCGUUGAAGGAUGUCCAAAAAUAAGUGUUUCUUAUACUUAAAAAGUGUGGUGUUAAGAUGUGCA